AUUGAACGCUGGCGGCAGGCCUAACACAUGCAAGUCGAACGAGUGGCGGACGGGUGAGUAAUGUAUGGGAAACUGCCUGAUGGAGGGGGAUAACUACUGGAAACGGUAGCUAAUACCGCAUACCAUCGGAUGUGCCCAGAUGGGAUUAGCUAGUGGGUGGGGUAACGGCUCACCAAGGCGACGAUCCGUAGCGGGUCUGAGAGGAUGACCCGCAACACUGGAACUGAGACACGGGCCAGACUCCUACGGGAGGCAGCAGUGGGGAAUAUUGCACAAGGGGCGAAAGCCUGAUGCAGCCAUGCCGCGUGGAUGAAGAAGGCCGUCGGGUUGUAAAGUACUUUUGGCGGGGAAGCGUUACCCGCAGAAGAAGCACCGGCUAACUACGUGCCAGCAGCCGCGGUAAUAC
rnacentral:rRNA from 1 species